GUGUUCUGGGUGCCCUUUAAGAGUCCGUCUCCUGCUCAACUCAGCAACACAUACAGUAAAAUUGGAGCAAUACAAAGAUGAGCAUGACCCCCGCACAAGGAUGACACGCAAAUUCAUGAAGCAUUCCACAUUAAA
ensembl:snRNA U6 U6 spliceosomal RNA